CCUACGGGAGGCAGCAGUGGGGAAUAUUGCACAAUGGGGGAAACCCUGAUGCAGCGACGCCGCGUGAGUGAAGAAGUACUUCGUUACGUAAAGCCCUAUCAGCAGGGAAGAAAAUGACGGUACCUGAGUAAGAAGCCCCGGCUAACUACGUGCAAGCAGCCGCGGUAAUCCGUCGGGGGCCAGCGUUAUCCGGAUUUACUGGGUGUAAAGGGGGCGUAGACGGUGGGCCAGGUCUGGAGUGAAAUGCCGCAGCUUAACUGCGGAACUGCGUUGGAAACUGGCGAACUAGAGUGCGGGAGGGGUAAGCGGAAUUCGUGGUGUAGCGGUGAAAUGCUUAGAUAUCACGAAGAACCCCGAUUGCGAAGGUAGCCUGCCGCAGCGUUACUGACGCUGAAGCUCGAAAGCGCGGGUAUCGAACAGGAUUAGAUACCCUUGUAGUC
rnacentral:rRNA from 1 species